AUGCUGCAGCAUGAGAAGUUGUUCACAUUUGCUGGUUUUAGCAUUGAAAGCGACAAAGAGAAGCUGAAGUUGUCCGGUAUGGAGAUCAACCCCAAAAAGUUCAUCGACAUUCAGCGCAAGUGGAGAGUUCCAUACACCGGAAAAGAGUAUGACUCCUUGACUGAUGUUGCGGCCAGCGUCAUCCACCCAUUCUACAAAGGCAUGAAGAAUAAGAUCAACACGCAGGAAGACUACAAACUGUGGGGGACCAGCGAGCUGCCAGACAACCUCAUCGAGUACGCAGGAGUAGAUGCGUACGCCGCAUACAAAUCAUGGUUCAUGAUCGACUACAUCACAGACGGUUGGGAAUAUGCGAAAGAGCGGGAGGAUGAAAACUUCUACGACCGCCCCUAUUGCCCCUUUACUGGAUGA
rnacentral:rRNA from 1 species